AGAGACGAAACAGUGGUGUGGAGUAAAACUUAUAAAAGCGACCUCAGUUCGGAUUGAAGGCUGAAAUUCGCCUUCAUGAAGUCGGAAUUGCUAGUAAUGGCAGGUCAGCAUACUGCCGUGAAUACGUUCCCGGGCCUUGUACACACCGCCCGUCACACCAUGAGAGUUGGAGAUACCCGAAGCCUAUGAGCUAACUUUUAGAGGCAGUAGUCGAAGGUAGAAUCAAUGAUUGGGGUGAAGUCGUAACAAGGUACC
rnacentral:rRNA from 1 species